rnacentral:rRNA from 1 species
UACGUAGGGUCCGAGCGUUGUCCGGAGUUACUGGGCGUAAAGCGCGCGCAGGCGGCGGUGCUGGCCCGGCGUGAAAGCCCCCGGCUCAACCGGGGAGAGUCGUCGGGGACCGCACCGCUUGAGGGCGGGAGGGGCUGGUGGAAUGCCUGGUGUAGUGGUGAAAUGCGUAGAGAUCAGGCAGAACACCUGGGGCGAAGGCGGCCAGCUGGGCCGUCCCUGACGCUGAGGCGCGAAGGCGUGGGGAGCGAACGGG